UACGUAGGGUGCGAGCGUUAAUCGGAAUUACUGGGGCGUAAAGCGUGCGCAGGCGGUUUUGUAAGCCGGAUGUGAAAUCCCCGGGCUUAACCUGGGAAUGGCAUUCGGGGACUGCAAGGCUGGAGUGCGGCAGAGGAGACUGGAAUUCCUGGUGUAGCAGUGAAAUGCGUAGAUAUCAGGAGGAACACCGAUGGCGAAGGCGGGUCUCUGGGCAGUAACUGACGCUGAGGAGCGAAAGCGUGGGUAGCGAACAGG
rnacentral:rRNA from 1 species